AGAGUUUGAUCCUGGCUCAGGAUGAACGCUGGCGGCGUGCCUAACACAUGCAAGUCGAGCGAUUCUCUUCGGAGAAGAGCGGCGGACGGGUGAGUAACGCGUGGGUAACCUGCCCUGUACACACGGAUAACAUACCGAAAGGUAUGCUAAUACGAGAUAAUAUGCUUUUAUCGCAUGGUAGAAGUAUCAAAGCUUUUGCGGUACAGGAUGGACCCGCGUCUGAUUAGCUAGUUGGUAAGGUAACGGCUUACCAAGGCGACGAUCAGUAGCCGACCUGAGAGGGUGAUCGGCCACAUUGGAACUGAGACACGGUCCAAACUCCUACGGGAGGCAGCAGUGGGGAAUAUUGCACAAUGGGCGAAAGCCUGAUGCAGCAACGCCGCGUUAGCGAUGAAGGCCUUCGGGUCGUAAAGCUCUGUCCUCAAGGAAGAUAAUGACGGUACUUGAGGAGGAAGCCCCGGCUAACUACGUGCCAGCAGCCGCGGUAAUACGUAGGGGGCUAGCGUUAUCCGGAAUUACUGGGCGUAAAGGGUGCGUAGGUGGUUUCUUAAGUCAGAGGUGAAAGGCUACGGCUCAACCGUAGUAAGCCUUUGAAACUGGGAAACUUGAGUGCAGGAGGGGAGAGUGGAAUUCCUAGUGUAGCGGUGAAAUGCGUAGAUAUUAGGAGGAACACCAGUUGCGAAGGCGGCUCUCUGGACUGUAACUGACACUGAGGCACGAAAGCGUGGGGAGCAAACAGGAUUAGAUACCCUGGUAGUCCACGCCGUAAACGAUGAGUACUAGCUGUCGGAGGUUACCCCCUUCGGUGGCGCAGCUAACGCAUUAAGUACUCCGCCUGGGGAGUACGCUCGCAAGAGUGAAACUCAAAGGAAUUGACGG
rnacentral:rRNA from 1 species